GCUAUGCCGUCGUCUUUCUAUCCAACAUCACAACGGCAAUAUACCUUGCCACCAUAGCGCGUAUUGGAAAAUCAAGUGGCCUUAAUAGCUUUGGCCUAAUGUGGUGCAAUGGAAUCGUCUGUGGACCUUUCUUACUUCUUUGGUCACUUAUUCGUGGUGACCUGGCACUGACAAUGGAUUUCCCUUACUUAUUUUCACCAGGGUUCCUGGUUGUAAUGCUUAUGUCUUGCAUAUUGGCAUUUUUCUUGAACUACUCUAUAUUUCUCAACACAACCCUGAAUUCAGCUGUCACACAGACAAUAUGCGGUAACUUGAAGGAUCUUUUCACAAUCUCACUAGGAUGGUUCAUAUUUGGCGGGCUUCCAUUUGAUUUGUUGAAUGUCCUUGGACAGCUUCUGGGAUUUGUUGGCUCUGGUCUCUAUGCCUACUACAAACUCAUGGGAAAGUGAUUAUUAAGUAUGAAUGUUCAUAUGAUCUUUCCCGAAGAGUUAUAAUUUGCACCAUUUUUUUGCCCCUAUUUUUGUUUCGGCAAUUAUGUGAUACUCGAAGAGACAAACAUCGGGGUUGUAGAAGUGCCAGUUUGACUUAAUGUUACGGAGAAUCAAUUGAGAGAACUGUAACUUGGUGGAUGAUCGAGUCCCAGCAGUUCAGGGCCUUGGAAAAGAAGAAUUGCCCCACAAGAACGAGAUAAACUUAAUUAGUUAAGAUGUACAAGAAAUAACGACAUUCCUUAUCAUGAACAAAUUUGUAAGUUAUAUCAAGUGUUAGACGAGAUUCGUCAUGGGCAAUUGGUGACCCGAGGGAUGGAACUGUAUAUACAAUUUUAUGCAGAUUUUGCUAUUAAUG
rnacentral:misc_RNA from 1 species